UGAAGGUCCUUCAAAAAGUAUCAGUCUGGGUUGGAUUUGUGGUCCCUGUGGAGACUAUUGUCAACAAAAUCUACCCUACACGGUCUCCCAACAGGCCAUGGCUUGCCAAGAAACGCCGAGGGAGACUAGCACGCCUCCUCUUCUCCAUUGUCCCCACCAGGUUCCAGAACGUUCUGGGCUAUCUGCCAGCAAAUUGGGGCCAGAGCAACAUGCCCAAGGAGAUCAGAGAAACUCUAAUCAAUCCAUCUAGCAAAGCAAAUAAGAGGAAGAGAGAUGAUGUAGCUCUGGAAGAACAGGAGUCCUGGGUGGUGGUCCUGGAGAAAGACCUGCCAGAAGAUGACUCUGAAGAUGUCACAUACGAGCCAUCAGAAGUGGAAACAGAUAGCGAGGAGUACAAGUCCCAGAAUGACACUGAGACAGACUUGGAGUUUGAAGAGCAGGAAGGGGCCAUAGUACUGACGGAAUCAUCAAAUCUCCAGGUGAGCAGGCCUCUCCUGUGCUGGCUGUAGAC
rnacentral:lncRNA from 1 species